GAUGAACGCUGGCGGCGUGCCUAAUACAUGCAAGUCGAGCGAACGGACGAGAAGCUUGCUUCUCUGAUGUCAGCGGCGGACGGGUGAGUAACACGUGGAUAACCUACCUAUAAGACUGGGAUAACUUCGGGAAACCGUAGCUAAUACCGGAUAAUAUUUUGAACCGCAUGGUUCAAAAGUGAAAGACGGUCUUGCUGUCACUUAUAGAUGGAUCCGCGCUGCAUUAGCUAGUUGGUAAGGUGACGGCUUACCAAGGCAACGAUGCAUAGCCGACCUGAGAGGGUGAUCGGCCACACUGGAACUGAGACACGGUCCAGACUCCUACGGGAGGCAGCAGUAGGGAAUCUUCCGCAAUGGGCGAAAGCCUGACGGAGCAACGCCGCGUGAGUGAUGAAGGUCUUCGGAUCGUAAAACUCUGUUAUUAGGGAAGAACAUAUGUGUAAGUAACUGUGCAUAUCUUGACGGUACCUAAUCAGAAAGCCACGGCUAACUACGUG
rnacentral:rRNA from 1 species